AUAUUUUUCCAAGUAUAUUCUUUCUUUUUUAAAAAUACGCUGAAAGGUAUUAUUUUCUUUUGCAAACUCUAUGCACUUUGUAUCCUCUGAAUAUUUUAUUUUAUUUUAUUUUAUAUUAUCUAGUAUAUAUUACUAUGUGUUGUGAAUAGAUACCGUGUAAUAAUCAAAGUGUUGUGGAUUGUUUAAUAAUCAAGGUACACUCGUGAUCAAAUCAGACUUCCUCAGGAAAAAUGGUGAUGUCCAGGUUUCUCACCCUUCCCCAUAGGCGUCCUCGGGGAAAAUGACAAUUUUAUUGUUCGGAAUUGUUUGAUAUCCAACGACCCGCUGUCCAGACAUCCUUGUAUCGCGAAGAAAAAGAUUUGCAGGAACUUCUCAAUAACACGAUAAAUAAAAAAAGAUUACAGAAGAAUACAAUCAUAUUCCCCAUUGUUUUAAAUGAAUAACAUUUUCAUUGCAAAACAUGUAUGAUUCUCUAACGAAAUAUUCAUAAAAUUAUGACAAAAGGUGGAGAGCAUAAGUAAAAAAUAAUGUAGAAUUUAAUUAUGUGUUUUAUGCAAAAAAUGUUUGAGGGUCUUGGAAUCAUCCUUGCAACCAUUGGCGUAACUAGGAUUCUUUUCGGUGGUGGGUCAGGUCUUUUAGAUUUAUUAACAGUGUCAAAUAUUAUAAGAUAACAAAUGAAAAGCUAAAUUAAGAAAAUGAAGCAAUGGUAUGAUAUAUCAUUGUAAUUAUAACAUAUCAUAUUAUACGCGAUCAUUUUUAUUAUAGUAAUUAACGUGUUAAAUAUCUAUUAAAAUAGAUAUUUACCAUUUAUGUUCAAACAUGGUCUGCCAACGUUCUAAAGCUCGUUAAAAUCUUAAAGUAUUAUUCUGUAAGCUUUCUUAAUGGAUGUUCCGUUAUAUUUCAUUUUUUCAUCUUUCUUUCAUGUCGGUAUACGUUUAUAUUUCAGCAUUUCUUGGAAUUCAAAAAGUAUCAUGUUUGCAUUUGUUUUAAAAUCAUACCACUUGUAUCAUUGAUUUAUUGCUUUGACGUAGACGAUAUAAGGAACCGAAAAAUGGUUACUGUAUAUAAGCAAAUGCAGUUGUAAUCAUGGUCGUUUACCUUUCAAACACGAUACAAGAUAAUAUGCAGUAAUAUAUUUCCUUCAUUGUAAGAAAUUGGUAAACUUGUUAAGUCUUAGACAAAACAAAAUAAAUCAUUUACUUAUCCAGAAUAAUGAUAUUAAGCUUCGUAUUUUGCAAACAGAUCAUUAUACUUGUUACCAAUAUCAAGGUUUUUUCAGUUUAUUUUCUGAAUUUUCAAUCAUUCUUAUAGAUAAUUAGAGGUAUUAUAUAUAUUUGACACCGGAGCAACCAAGUUCAUAAAAAUGAUGGAUAUCAAAUUUUUUAUUUUAAAUUACAAAAAUGAUCGAAGGGCUUUUGUUGAAAUAAAUAUUAACUUUUGUAGAAACAAAAAAAUGAUUAUAUUUGCUCAUUUAUUUUUCAUCCUUCGUUCAUUUAUUUAGUAG